rnacentral:rRNA from 1 species
UAAUACGAAGGGUGCUAGCGUUGUUCGGAAUCACUGGGCGUAAAGCGCGCGUAGGCGGCUUUUCAAGUCAGGGGUGAAAUCCUGGGGCUUAACCCCAGAAUUGCCUUUGAAACUGAAAAGCUAGAGUACUGGAGGGGAUAGCGGAAUUCCUAAUGUAGAGGUGAAAUUCGUAGAUAUUAGGAGGAACACCGGUGGCGAAGGCGGCUAUCUGGACAGUAACUGACGCUCUGGCGCGAAAGCGUGGGGAUCAAACAGGAUUAGAUACCCUGGUAGUCCACGCUGUAAACGAUGGAUGCUAGCCGUUGGGGGGUUACCCCUCAGUGGCGUAGCUAACGCGUUAAGCAUCCCGCCUGGGGAGUACGGUCGCAAGAUUA